CGCGCAGGUGGGAUCUUAAGUCCAUUUUUAAAGUUCGGAGCUCAACUCCGUGAUGGGAUGGAAACUGGGAUUCUUGAGUACCGGAGAGGAAAGCGGAAUUCCCCGUGUAGCGGUGAAAUGCGUAGAUAUGGGGAGGAACACCAGUGGCGAAGGCGGCUUUCUGGACGGUGUCUGACACUGAGGCGCGAAAGCCAGGGGAGCGAACG
rnacentral:rRNA from 1 species